GUCGAGGGGUAGAGUUCUUCGGAGGUUGAGACCGGCGCACGGGUGCGUAACGCGUAUGCAAUCUACCUUUUACAGAGGGAUAGCCCAGAGAAAUUUGGAUUAAUACCUCAUAGUAUAAUUGAAUGGCAUCAUUUAAUUAUUAAAGUCACAACGGUAAAAGAUGAGCAUGCGUCCCAUUAGCUAGUUGGUAAGGUAACGGCUUACCAAGGCUACGAUGGGUAGGGGUCCUGAGAGGGAGAUCCCCCACACUGGUACUGAGACACGGACCAGACUCCUACGGGAGGCAGCAGUGAGGAAUAUUGGACAAUGGGCGCAAGUCUGAUCCAGCCAUGCCGCGUGCAGGAUGACGGUCCUAUGGAUUGUAAACUGCUUUUGUACAGGAAGAAACACUGGUUCGUGAACCAGCUUGACGGUACUGUAAGAAUAAGGAUCGGCUAACUCCGUGCCAGCAGCCGCGGUAAUACGGAGGAUCCAAGCGUUAUCCGGAAUCAUUGGGUUUAAAGGGUCCGUAGGCGGUUUGGUAAGUCAGUGGUGAAAGCCCAUCGCUCAACGGUGGAACGGCCAUUGAUACUGCUAGACUUGAAUUAUUAGGAAGUAACUAGAAUAUGUAGUGUAGCGGUGAAAUGCUUAGAGAUUACAUGGAAUACCAAUUGCGAAGGCAGGUUACUACUAAUAUAUUGACGCUGAU
rnacentral:rRNA from 1 species